UACGUAGGGUGCAAGCGUUAAUCGGAAUUACUGGGCGUAAAGCGUGCGCAGGCGGUUAUGUAAGACAGUUGUGAAAUCCCCGGGCUCAACUGAGGAAGUGCAUCCGAAACUGGCAGGCUUGAGUACUAAAGAGGGUCGCGGAAUUCCCGGUGUAGAGGUGAAAUUCGUAGAUAUCGGGAGGAACACCGGUGGCGAAGGCGGCGACCUGGGUAGAUACUGACGCUGAGGUGCGAAAGCGUGGGGAGCAAACAGG
rnacentral:rRNA from 1 species